rnacentral:rRNA from 1 species
GACGAACGCUGGCGGCGUGCUUAACACAUGCAAGUCGAACGCUGAAGCUCAGCUUGCUGGGUGGAUGAGUGGCGAACGGGUGAGUAACACGUGAGUAACCUGCCCUCUUCUUUGGGAUAACGCCCGGAAACGGGUGCUAAUACUGGAUAUUCACUGAUUCUCGCAUGGGGGUUGGUGGAAAGGUUUUUUCUGGUGGGGGAUGGGCUCGCGGCCUAUCAGCUUGUUGGUGGGGUGAUGGCCUACCAAGGCUUUGACGGGUAGCCGGCCUGAGAGGGUGACCGGUCACAUUGGGACUGAGAUACGGCCCAGACUCCUACGGGAGGCAGCAGUGGGGAAUAUUGCACAAUGGGCGAAAGCCUGAUGCAGCGACGCCGCGUGAGGGAGGGAGGCCUUCGGGUUGUAAACCUCUUUCGCUCAUGGUCAAGCCGCAGCGUUGGGUUGUGGUGAGGGUAGUGGGUAAAGAAGCGCCGGCUAACUACGUG